GUAGGUGAACCUGCGGAAGGAUCAUUAAAAAUAUCCUUCACCCUGGAUGCAAGUCCGGGUGGACCAGCCGCUGGGCUCUAAACAUACGUAAUGCCAGUCCAUUCUCCUUGUGAGAUUGUUCGGGUACUCGUUACUUCAAACCAUUGUGAACCUCCUGUUGCUUCGGCGGCAUGCCUCGUGCUGUCAGCCCGUCCGAGGCCCAUAAAACCAUUUCUGUAAACUUCUGUCAGUAUACGAAAAGUAAAUCGUUAAAACUUUCAACAACGGAUCUCUUGGUUCUC
rnacentral:misc_RNA from 1 species